rnacentral:lncRNA from 1 species
CAGACACUAGCCAUAGCACAGACUUAGCUGUUGGGUCUGAGGCUAUAUCUCAGUCUCCUGAAAAAUUGGUGCUGAGAUUCCAAGGAAGCCUAUUCUCCGUGGUGGCCCAGCCUGUAACAUGAAAAUUUCUGUGAGAGAUCCAGAUACUCGCUUUCCAGCUGGGACUGGUUUCCUUCCAGAAAUGCCAGGUUCAAGGCCUGCUGCCCUCCCGAUGUGCAUCAUCACACUUGGCUGUCAUUGGCUGGGCUGUGAUAGCUCCCUCCUGAGAAAGAGCCAGCACACCCCUCUAGACCUUAGAGGACUUGUCAAG